AGAGGAUGACCAGCCACACUGGAACUGAGACACGGUCCAGACUCCUACGGGAGGCAGCAGUGGGGAAUAUUGCACAAUGGGCGCAAGCCUGAUGCAGCCAUGCCGCGUGUAUGAAGAAGGCCUUCGGGUUGUAAAGUACUUUCAGCGGGGAGGAAGGGAGUAAAGUUAAUACCUUUGCUCAUUGACGUUACCCGCAGAAGAAGCACCGGCUAACUCCGUGCCAGCAGCCGCGGUAAUACGGAGGGUGCAAGCGUUAAUCGGAAUUACUGGGCGUAAAGCGCACGCAGGCGGUUUGUUAAGCAAGAUGUGAAAGCCCCGGGCUCAACCUGGGAAUGGCAUCCAAAACUGG
rnacentral:rRNA from 1 species